GCCCCGCUUUGCCUGCGUUAGAAAUAAAGUAAAUCUACUGGAGCCGUCGGCUUUCGAGCGGUUUAAUAAGGGUUAAAAGGUCGUCGACCUUUGAGGUGAUCUCUGUAUAAAAGUCGGCCGGGAAGGCGUUCUUCUGUGGCCAUAAAAAACGUUUUCAUAGCGAAACGGAGACAGGGUAAAGGUGCCUGUUUGUCCACAGGCAAACGUGGACAGCUUUGCGAGCGACGGAGCGCUGCACCGUUUUGUGGCUAAUGAGACCUUUUAUUAGAGUUGUCAUCAUUUAAUCUUGAUGGACUUGCUUCUGCCUACUGCCUUAAAAAAUCUGUGGGCCAUUGCAUGUUUCCUGAUUCCAGGAAUUUCCAAAUCUUACCUGGAUUUUAUGAAGGUGGCCCCUGCAGAGAGGAAUGAAGAUCACUACCGGAGCGUGGCAGUGAGACUGCGGAGAGAUUAACAAAUGGAGCCGGUCGGACUUUGCCUUCUUUCUUCAAGUACUUCAGAGGGCCUGAAGGAUCCACUACAAGAACUCAAUCUGACAUUAAAACAGCAAUAGAUUGCCCUAAAGGAUAUUGCUGAUUGAGACAAAUCUAUCUGCAGCCUUUGCACAAAUUUGGAAUUGAUAAAAACCUUCAGCCAAGACAAGCGAUUCUUCUGUGCUGUUCUUCCUUUCCACGCUCCUUCCACAGGUUUCAGCCAUGAAAUUGCAGAUACUGUUGUGUUCUGUGAUACUGCUGAUAGAUGCAAAAUCUAAAGAAUGGUGUGACAGAAUUGUGAGAGACAGAGAUAUCCACGUAUACAGGCUUAUAAGUGGUAAUUCUGUAGAAGAGAUGCCACUGAAGAAAGGCGUUGAAUGAAGAACAAAUAGGCUUACAACUGCAGGAGCAUCAGCUGCAAGAUAAGGAACAAAGAAUAGAGCAAAUCCAGUGUCAACUACAGGGAGAAACACAGGUUUCAGGAAGUGCACUGGCUCCUGCUGUAGCUAUAUUACAGGAAAUAUCUGUAGUACCUGCCAUUCCAGCAGAGCUGGAGCACCUGUAAUGCUGUCAGUUUUUUCAAGCAGAAGCAUUUGACAGCAUCGGCUGUAGUAACGAUCAAUCUGAUGACACUUCUGCAGACAGAGAAACUUCGGAUGACUUUGCUUAUGUCAGUUCCAGGAACUGCGUCCUGAUGAUCAGACCAAAGCGACUGCUUCAGCACGGAUGCUCCAAAGGAAACCACGGCAGAAGUCGUCCCGGCAGCAGCCUGCAGCUGCGCGUCAGCCCCCGAAGGCAGCUCGCGCGCAGCCCGUUCCCGCGUCAGUGAGCUCUUCCUUAGCUGAUCUUAAAAACAGCGAAAUAAAAACUGCUUUCUGCUAUGUAAA